UCCUGAGAUAGCUCAGCCGGUAGAGCAUGAGACGCUUAAUCUCAGGACCGUGGGUUCAAGCCCCAUGUUGGGCA